CCUACGGGGUGCAGCAGUGGGGAAUAUUGCACAAUGGGCGCAAGCCUGAUGCAGCCAUGCCGCGUGUAUGAAGAAGGCCUUCGGGUUGUAAAGUACUUUCAGCGGGGAGGAAGGGAGUAAAGUUAAUACCUUUGCUCAUUGACGUUACCCGCAGAAGAAGCACCGGCUAACUCCGUGCCAGCAGCCGCGGUAAUACGGAGGGUGCAAGCGUUAAUCGGAAUUACUGGGCGUAAAGCGCACGCAGGCGGUUUGUUAAGUCAGAUGUGAAAUCCCCGGGCUCAACCUGGGAACUGCAUCUGAUACUGGCAAGCUUGAGUCUCGUAGAGGGGGGUAGAAUUCCACGUGUAGCGGUGAAAUGCGUAGAGAUGUGGAGGAACACCAGUGGCGAAGGCGGCUCUCUGGUCUGUAACUGACGCUGAGGCGCGAAAGCGUGGGGAGCAAACAGGAUUAGAUACCCGAGUAGUC
rnacentral:rRNA from 1 species